rnacentral:rRNA from 1 species
AGAACGAACGCUGGCGGCAUGCCUAACACAUGCAAGUCGAACGCUCUUGGUUUCGGCCAAGGGAGUGGCGCACGGGUGAGUAACGCGUGGGAACCUGCCCUGGAGUGGGGGAUAACCGAGGGAAACCUCGGCUAAUACCGCAUACGACCUGAGGGUGAAAGAUUUAUCGCUCUAGGAGGGGCCCGCGUCGGAUUAGCUAGUUGGUGAGGUAACGGCCCACCAAGGCUAUGAUCCGUAGCUGGUCUGAGAGGAUGAUCAGCCACACUGGGACUGAGACACGGCCCAGACUCCUACGGGAGGCAGCAGUGGGGAAUAUUGGACAAUGGGCGCAAGCCUGAUCCAGCAACGCCGCGUGAGUGAUGAAAGGCCUUAGGGUUGUAAAGCUCUUUCACACGCGACGAUGAUGACGGUAGCGUGAGAAGAAGCCCGGCUAACUUCGUGCCAGCAGCCGC